rnacentral:rRNA from 1 species
UAGUCAUAUGCUUGUCUCAAAGACUAAGCCAUGCAUGUCUAAGUAUAAGUAUUAUACAGCGAAACUGCGAAUGGCUCAUUAAAACAGUUAUAGUUUAUUUGAUAAUCGAAUUUACAUGGAUAACCGUGGUAAUUCUAGAGCUAAUACAUGCUGGUGUGCCCAACUUUUAGGAAGGGCGGUAUUUAUUAGAUAACAAGCCAAUAUUCCUCUGGUCUAUUGUGGUGACUCAUAAUAACUGAUCGAAUCGCAAGGCCUAUGGCCGCGAUAAGUCAUUCAAGUUUCUGCCCCAUCAGCUUUCGAUGGUAGUGUAUUGGACUACCAUGGCGUUUACGGGUAACGGAGGAUUAGGGUUCGAUUCCGGAGAGGGAGCCUGAGAAACGGCUACCACAUCUAAGGAAGGCAGCAGGCGCGUAAAUUACCCAAUCCUGACUCAGGGAGGUAGUGACAAGAAAUAACGGACCGAGGCCUACGGGCUUCGGGAUUGCAAUGAGCCGAAUUUACACCCCUUAGCGAGGAUCAAUU